rnacentral:misc_RNA from 1 species
GAUGAAGAACGUAGCGAAAUGCGAUAAGUAAUGUGAAUUGCAGAAUUCAGUGAAUCAUCGAAUCUUUGAACGCACAUUGCGCCCGCUAGUAUUCUGGCGGGCAUGCCUGUUCGAGCGUCAUUUCAACCAUCAAGCCCCAGGCUUGUGUUGGGGGCCUGCGGCUGCCGCAGCCCCUGAAAAGCAGUGGCGGGCUCGCUGUCAUUCCGAGCGCAGUAGUUACAUCUCGCUCCGGGCGUGGCGGUGGGCACCUGCCGUGAAACACUCCUUCUAAGGUUGACCUCGGAUCAGGUAGGAAUACACGCUGAACUUAAGCAUAUCAAUAAGCGGAGGA